AUUGGAAGGACUGAUGCUGAAGCUGAAACUCCAAUACUUUGGCCACCUGAUGCGAAGAACUGAGUCGUUUGCAAAGACCGUGAUGCUGGGAAAGAUUGAAGGCAAGAGAAAAGGAGGUGACAGAGGAUGAGAUGGUUGGAUGGCAUCACUGACUCAAUGGACAUGAGUUUGAGCAAGUUCCGGG